AUUUUUGCGCUUGGGGCAAUGACGCACCUAGUGAGGUAAUACCGAGGCGCGUCAAUUGCUGGUUGAAAACUAUUUCCAAACUCCCUCUUUGGCCCUCACGGGUCACUGAGAAUUUGUGCAAAGGCUCCCUCUCCUUGGAGAGGGCAAGGGCC
rnacentral:snRNA from 2 species